GACGAACGCUGGCGGCGUGCUUAACACAUGCAAGUCGAACGAGAAUUCUUCUUCUGGUUUCUUCGGAAUGAUCACGAAAACGUAACACAUCGAUCGGGUGAGUAACACUUGAGAAACAUGCCUUUCACCAAGGGCUAGUCUUGGAAAACCGGUCUUACUACCUUAUGAGGCCUAACACUCGCCUGCGAGUUUGGUUGAAGUCUUAUCGUAGUUAGAUGGUCUCGAGUCUGAUGAGCUAGUUGGCGGGAUAAAAGCCUACCAAGGCAACGAUCAGUAGCCGGAGUGAGAGGUUGAACGGCGACACUGGGACUGGGCCACGGUCCAGACUGCUACGAGAGGCAGCAGUGAGGGAUUUAGCACAAUGGAGGAGAUUCAGAUGCAGCGACGCCGCGUGAGUGAUGUUGGUCUUAGAAUUGGAAAUCACUAUCCUUAGUGCAGAUAAUGACAGUAACUGAAGAAGAAGCACUGGCUAAAUACGUG
rnacentral:rRNA from 1 species